ACUGGACCUAUGCAAAGAGAUAAAGCGAAGUGAACCAAAUAUGUGUGACAUCAGUGUAAAGAGGGGAUUCUUUGCUUGUGUUAAUGACUUUAAAUCUGGCUCUUGCUUCAUUCAUCCAUUCAAACCCUCUGCUCAUCAUGUGGAGUCCUUCACUGUUGCUCAGGAAGAACCAGAGAUGGUGUCCGAACCUGUAAUGGAAAGCUCAGUGAAUGUGUCUGCAGGA